rnacentral:tRNA from 1 species
UCGCCGCCGGCGCGGAGGAGAUGGGCGCGUCGAUCCGCGAGAUCGGCGAGAGCGCCACCCAGGCCGCCGGGGUCGCCUCCCGGGCGGUGGAC